rnacentral:rRNA from 1 species
GACGAACGCUGGCGGCGUGCUUAACACAUGCAAGUCGAACGGAAAGGCCCUGCUUUUGUGGGGUGCUCGAGUGGCGAACGGGUGAGUAACACGUGAGUAACCUGCCCUUGACUUUGGGAUAACUUCAGGAAACUGGGGCUAAUACCGGCUAGGAGCUCCUGCUGCAUGGUGGGGGUUGGAAAGUCUCGGCGGUUGGGGAUGGACUCGCGGCUUAUCAGCUUGUUGGUGGGGUAGUGGCUUACCAGGGCUUUGACGGGUAGCCGGCCUGAGAGGGUGACCGGCCACAUGGGGACUGAGAUACGGCCCAGACUCCUACGGGAGGCAGCAGUGGGGAAUAUUGCACAAUGGGCGGAAGCCUGAUGCAGCAACGCCGCGUGCGGGAUGACGGCCUUCGGGGUGGAAACCGCUUUCGCCUGUGACGAAGCGUGAGUGACGGUAAUGGGUAAAGAAGCACCGGCUAACUACGUG